UACGUAGGGGGCAAGCGUUGUCCGGAAUCAUUGGGCGUAAAGCGCGUGUAGGCGGCUCGGUAAGUCUGCUGUGAAAGUCCAGGGCUCAACCCUGGGAUGCCGGUGGAUACUGUCGAGCUCGAGUCCGGAAGAGGCGAGUGGAAUUCCUGGUGUAGCGGUGAAAUGCGCAGAUAUCAGGAGGAACACCAAUGGCGAAGGCAGCUCGCUGGGACGUGACUGACGCUGAGGAGCGAAAGCGUGGGGAGCAAACAGG
rnacentral:rRNA from 1 species